AUUUGCACACGGACCCAUGAUGGCCCCGAUUUUUUGUACAAGGGAGGUUAAGGCGCCCAUCAGCCCGCUGAGGCAGGUCUGGCCAGCUCUAGGACCGCGCACCGAAAAGUUAACUCGCUGGUCUUGCGUUAGCCGCUUGAAAGGAAUGCCUAGCAGCCUAUCCCAGGAACUGGAAGAGAGCAAUGAUUAAAAGGGAAGGCUUGGGCAGACUCCCACAAUAGGCAAGCUCUGGAAGAAGCACGGAAAUCUCUCAUGAAGACAUGUGAACAAGACUUCCUCCCUUUAAGACACAUGGUGCUUUAGUAAAAGAAAAAAAAAUGCACUGAUUUAAAUGUCAAACACACAAAGGAGUUUGUAUGAAUCCUUAUAUGAAGGAAACUGAAUCUUCAGGAGACAGGAAAACACCAAAAUCCAUUAGAUUUUCCCCCAGGCGGAUCAGAGCUGGAGUUUGAAUUGUCGUCUUCUUAGUGGGUUUGUUUAUAUUCAGUCACCUGCUUUAUAGAGCAAGAAAUCUUCUUUCCCUUGCCACCUAAUUUCUAGCAAAACACAUGGUUUGUUAGAGAUCUAAUAUCAUUGAGAGAGCACAAAACCACAGGACAACUGGGAAUGUGAAAGGAUAUUUAAGUAUUUAUUUACAAGUAAUUAUAACACACAAGAUAACCUGCUAAAAUGAGUUCUUGAUAUCUAUUUAAAAAUUUAGUAGUAAUUCAUUGUGGUUGAAAAACAAAAGCAAACAAGAAAAGAAAAAAAACAAAACAAAAACCCUUGAAUUAGAACCACAAAUGCACAAAGCAGCCAAGCUUUAUGCCCAGUGACCUAGGCCUGGGGCCUGAGUUACUGUUGACAGCAAAUGUUCAUAUCCUUAUUCCUGUAAAGAGCCUGUGAACUUCAAACUCUGCUUAAGGUUAGCUACACCAUAGAGCCAGGUUUGAGCUAAACGGGUGAGGUCUGUUCCACUUGUCAGCAGGGGAGAGUCCAUGGGCUGAUGAUGACAUAAAUCACAUUAAAUGGGUGCUCUGCUCAGGUGCAGUAGUGGACAAUUAGUGUUAGUUAACCUGAUGUAGUUAAAAAAAAAAAAAAGCAAGGAUGGAAGGCCAGCUGUAGCUGUGAGGAUUCUAGUAUCACAGAACUGAUUUUUCUCCCUGCAGACAGAUACUGG
rnacentral:lncRNA from 1 species